GAUGAACGCUAGCGGCAGGCCUAACACAUGCAAGUCGAGGGGCAGCACAUAAAGUGGUUUACUACUUUUGGUGGCGACCGGCGGACGGGUGCGUAACGCGUAUGCAACCUACCGACAACUUGGGGAUAACGGAUGGAAACGUCCACUAAUACCUGAUAAUAUAAUUGGAGGCAUCUUCGGUGGUUGAAAGAAUUUUGGUUGUUGAUGGGCAUGCGUAACAUUAGUUAGUUGGUGGGGUAACGGCUCACCAAGGCUACGAUGUUUAGGGGGACUGAGAGGUUACCCCCCCACACUGGAACUGAGACACGGUCCAGACUCCUACGGGAGGCAGCAGUGAGGAAUAUUGGUCAAUGGGCGAAAGCCUGAACCAGCCAUGCCGCGUGCAGGAAGACGGCUCUAUGAGUUGUAAACUGCUUUUAUACGAGGGUAAUUGCGCGCACGUGUGCGUGUUUGAAAGUAUCGUAUGAAUAAGGAUCGGCUAACUCCGUGCCAGCCGCCGCCGUAA
rnacentral:rRNA from 1 species